GGGGUUUCUUAAUGCUCUAGUGGUGGGGGUUUCUUAAUGCUCUAGUGGUGGGGGUUUCUUAAUGCUCUAGUGGUGGGGGUUUCUUAAUGCUCUAGUGGUGGGGGUUUCUUAAUGCUCUAGUGGUGGGGGUUUCUUAAUGCUCUAUGGUGGGGGUUUCUUAAUGCUCUAGUGGUGGGGCUCUAGUGGUGGGGGAAGAGCUUUACAGAAAGAAAGAGAAUGUAAUUAUGUGUGAAGUAAUUUUUUUCUUCCAUGAAAAGGGUGGGUGUGGCGUGGGGGGACGGGCAGGCUAGCCGCUUUUCAACUUUUUUCAUGUAAAUAAGAUUUCUAAAUUCGGGUUAUAUAGAUUUGUAUUAAAUAUAUAUAAUAAUAAUUUAAAAAAACAUUAAAUAAAAACAAUAAAUGUUAAGAUAUUUGAAUUUCAAAAAAAUCGACAAAGAUGAGGCAACAACCAAGAAAACACCAUUUGUGUAUAAACCAUUUGGCCAGAGGGGGGAAGUGAAGUGGGGAAUAUAGGAGAACCACACACUGUUGAAGGGAGCUAUGGCACAAAGAGUUGAGACAUGUGAAGCGGAGAGGGAGAGACAACUUCACAACGAGGGAGGAGGCUCAGCUAUCUCCCCGGCUCAGCAAAGGUUAAGCCCUGGGUGGAGAUGUGACCUGUGACUGGCUGACGUUGAGCCCCAGUUGACAAAUCAGGUGCUGAAUUCUGUUCAUAUUCUUUUCAACAGUAGUGCACUACAUGAGGAAUAGGGUGCCGUUAUGUCUUGACGUGUAGCUAGUAGCUACUUCAUCUCAUUAGACUGUGACAUCUAGUGUGUCACACUGACUAGUGUGUCAUCCCAGCAGUCAACACGACCCUUCCUUCCCUAACAUUAGAAACCAACGUCGGUGCUCGUCCAAAAUGGCACACACUUCCCUUUUUAUAUAGUGCACUGCUUUUGACCAGAGCCCAAAGUAAAGUCAAAAGUAGUACAACGAUAUAUAAGGGAACAGGGUUCCAUUCCUGAUGCAUUUCAGUUCCUCGACCCCCUCAGUGACAGCGUCAUCAGUGAAAGGUUGUCCGUUUCUAUCUCCUUACCAAGUUGAGCCUCUCUUUCUGCUCUGGUUAUAAAGUGACUUUGUACGACGUUUUGUGUGACGUGUGUGAUUCAUUGACUUUAAGAUUACGGCCCAAAGGGCACCCUAUUCCAUAUUUAGUGCACUACUUUUGACCAGGUAGUGACCUAUAUAGGGAAUAGUGUGCCAUUUGGGACCCGGAAAUAAAAACAGAACAAUAUUUCAGAACAAAAUAUGCAUCUCUAAAAUGUGUUUUUUUUAAUUUUAUUUUGAAUGCUAUUAUUUUGUCUAUUAUUCAUUAUCAUCACAGGCUUUAAGUUGGGGGUUUUUCGUGAUCCAAUACCGUUGUGAUUGUGUCUGUUUUUUUGGGGGACGUUUUCUAUUCUCUUUUAAAGGGUGUGUAUGUGAUUUGAAAAGAUUGAAACAUGUAAUAGCAGAUUCCCUCAGAGCGGUUUCACAACACUCUGGGGGUCUGUUUAGAGCUCUGUGUAUUAGGGCUUGAUUCAAUCCAUUGCUGAAGUUCAGCGUUAAAACACGAUUUGACAUUUAAAAGCAAUCGUUUCGCUGAGACUGCAUUCGUGGUAAACGCUGCGUAAGUCGGCUCAAUGGGAGGUGAGCUUCGGCGGUACGGAUUGAAUUGAGUCCUUUUAGUUAUUCAUAUGUAUCAGAUCUACUUUCUAGACGUGUAUCUACGCCACGGUGCACAGCUGUGCUGAGGCUGAGAGCCUUCUCUCUCCACUUCAGAUUCAUCCGCCACACACCUGCUCAGUCGUACUGCUUCUGUACCUGUCGCUCCAGUUGAAACACUAACAGACAUGUAUUCAUUAUGACCUUGAUCUCAGUUCCACUGGAUAACAGGGGUCCCACCUAGCUUGGUUGCCAGGUCCAGUAUGUGCUUUCGUAAAAUAAUGCCAUGACGUUGAUAGUCGGAAGUUUGGCUUAAGCCUGUACAGAUCUGGCAACUAGUCGAGACCAGACAGUGGAGUCGGACCCUUAAACACUCCAUAUAACUCUGUUGUAGAGGAGUGUGUUUGAUCAUCGGAGUUAAACAUAAUCAGGGAGGCAGUUUCCACUCUUGACUCUUUUAGGAGGAAGGAGUUCUUCUCCCUUUCUGUCCUUCUCUUGGGUUUGGUCCUUGAUAGCCUGGUCCCAGAUGUGUUUGUGCUGUUUUGCCCAACUCGUCAGACUGUGACCGUCAGAGUUGGCUCGAUGGCACAAAGAGAUCUGAGACCAGGCUAGGAGGUCCUUAAUGCUCUGUGUUGAGACGAUAUAGAUGUCUUCUCAAUCUUCAGACCCAGAAUUACAAGGCCUUUGGUUUCAUUGUGACAUUUCAACAGAAAAAAAAACAAAGGAAAACAGAUGUUUUUUUAAAUUAAUUUAUUUUUGUUUCUUUGGGGAAGUGCAUAUUGUUGAAGCACACGUCCAGUGGUGACCGUGGGAUUUGCAAUAGGUCUUUAUAUCUGCUGUAAUUGUUCUAAUAAAAAGGGUUUGGAUUCUGGGAAAGUUUGAUGUAUUUAUUUGGCUUUGUGACAUCUAAUACUUUAUGUUGAUUUGAGGUGCAUUUCAAAAUGUCAUUCAUUGUGGGAUUUUAUCAGACAUUCCUCUUAUUGUGCAGUUUUAUGUAAUGGCAUGAGUUUUCCU
ensembl:lncRNA